AUCAUAAUAGUUUUCUAUCGCGUGUUGUGAAACAAACAUCAGCAUGUUAAGGGACUUCUACGCAUUUAACAGGCAAUUGAAAACGGGGAACUAUCCUAGCGUGGAGAAAGUCUCUAUAGCGGUGGAUAAACAGUCAAUACGAGUGUUGAGUCUGACUGAGUGUUUUGAGAGUGCCCUCUCUCUGUUGGAGGGUAAACUGCAGUCUAUGGACACAGCACCACUACCAGACUGUAUCAAGACUGUUCCCCUGAGUGUGGAUAAACACAGAGAGCUGAUGACGAGCGUCCUCGUCGACCAACGGCUGACUGAGCUACAGCUGAAGGGCGGGGCCUGGCUGGCAGGGCUGACCACAUCAGGACUUGCACAGCGAUCCCCAGACUGCAGGGCUGCGACCUCUAACCUCUAUGAUAGUGUGGACAACGCCCUCCACCGCCUCAUACAUGUGUCCAAUCACAGAGGCAGCGACCU
ensembl:lncRNA